UCUCAUCAUCAGACAUCUGAAAAAAGAUAAGAGUUGAAAUUAGAUUCCAUCAUUAACAUAUAACACUAAUAUGUAGUUUUCUUGAUUAGGUUUCAUUUUAAUCGCUAUACCUUAUUUAAAAAACUAAGUUCACAAUCAUCGACCCGAUGUCCCUCGGUGUGUCGAUGAAAGUAUUGAGGUGAACCUCUCUCUGCAUAUAAACGCCAAUCAAAUAAAAUACCAGGACAAAGUCUGGUUAAAGUAUCAAUUGCCAUAACCAUGAUUAUUUUUUUACAAAAUCACAAAAGUUUUAACCAAAUAAUCUCAAGAUAACUAGUUUGUUGUUAUCAUAAUAUCAUUUUAAUUAAAUACGUAUUAUAAAAUAAUACGGUUCUCUUCAAUACCAAGUAAUAUGUAUCAAUCAGAAUAGCAUUUGAAAUUAUUUCUCGUCUCAACAAGAACUGGAUUUACUUUUAAGAUUACGGAUGGAUAUGAAUUGCAGAUGUAACAGUUGAAUUGGAGAGUAAAUUAAAAUUAAUUUGUUCACAGGGACUGGCAGGGAUUUAAUCAACUGUUUUAAAUUGGUCACUGGUUAAUUGUAUUGGUAAAAAAUUGAACGGAAAUAAAUAGUUUGCUGGUAAAGGCGUCUGUUGCUGUGUUUGAUUAGUUAUGGAAGUAAUUUAUCACAAUUCAAAUUAAACUUGAGUUAAACUUGCAAGUAAAUGAUUUUUCCUUUUCUUAUUUCUUUCAGCUGGCAGUAAAAUAUCAUCACACACAGUAUCAUUUGGAAUCGUUUGAAUGAAAUAUCAAAAGUUAAGCUGCUAUCAACAAAUAUGGAGACCGAAUGUGUAUAUCAAUAGAUGAUUACGGAUCAUGGCGAUGAUGAUAAUGAUGGAUACAGAGUUGACCUAGUCUAUCAUGAAUUGGUUAACCUGCUGAUUAACUUGUUAAAAGGAAUGCAUUGGAUUCUGUGAGACACAUUUCUUGAAUAAUAAUAAUUGUAUUUGAUUCGAUGAACAUGAUUAACACGAAUAACACAAAGUUAAAUGAUCAACAAAGAAGAGGGCCAAACAUAAUGAUAAUAUUAUCACAGUAAAUACUUCUUGUUUAGGUUAAAUCAUCACUACACCUAUUCUCUGGUCCUUUCAUGUUACCAGAAAGAUGAAGAAGGAAAGGCUGAUAUUGGCUGAGGAAGAAAAGAAAGGCAAAAUGAUGGCUCAAAAUAUGGCGAGAUCAACUCUUUCUUCUCUGUCUAUGUUUCUCUCCAUGGAAGGAAAGUGAAAAAAGUAGACAUGAAAUGGAAACUGAGAAUGAGCAGGAAUCUCCAGGCUUUUGUCACAGCGCAAGGAAUCAACGAACAAAAUAAUGUAAAUCGAUAAAAAGGCGAAAGGCAUCAGAGUCAGGUUAUCAUUACUGGUAGCUCUGGUUGAAAAACAAAGAUGAGCAAAAAGAGAUGAAGAUAAACAAAGGUCUGGCGAUGAAGUUGAAAAAAUUACAUGAUUGAAAGUAAAUGUAUGAUUCUGAAUCAAGAAAUGAUCUCAGAACAAUUACUUGAAUUGAAAUUUUUGUACUUUUCCAUUUGAUACCUUUACGGCCAACUUUUGCUUCUUCUCAAAUAUUCAUUCCAUUGAAAUUGGUUAAAUCUGAGAUUUUCAUUUUUGCUACCAAUGAAUGUUUCAUUUGAUGGAGAUUCAAUAUUUAUAUCAACAAUUCUUAAACUUGUCAGACUUUUUGUCUAUUUAUUUAUCCUAUUUAGGUCAAAUUGGACUCAUGCUGUUUCGUCUGAACUGAUAUCUAACGUAUCUUGGUUCACAUCACCAUUGAACUUUUAUCGGAUUAAUUCUACAUGGAAUUAAACUUUGAAGAUAAGUCUAAAGAUGAUUGAAAAGGCAGGAGAAGAAAGCAAUGGAAAGGUUAAUCAGAAUAAAGGUAAAGUGAAAAUGAAUAAAAGAUUUGUUUGAAUGCUCAUGAUUCAGAGUAAACAUUUGUCUAUUGCAACGUAAACAUCUAGAAACGUUGGGAUGAUAAUGAUGAUGAAGAUAAUUAAGUUUGAUUUUGCGUACUUUUCAACUGGUUUCAAUGUUAUUAUUUCAUAUUAUCAGAUGUUCAUCAUUGCUAUUAGUAGUAUUAUUAUUAACCGGUAAAAAAUUAUUAUUUAACUAGUCCGUCUUGUAUUUGGUGGUUAAGAUUGAUACUCAACUAGAUUGUGUGUUCAUUAAAAUGAUAUUUUAUUGAGUUGCUA